rnacentral:rRNA from 1 species
GACGAACGCUGGCGGCGUGCUUAACACAUGCAAGUCGCGGGGUAACAUCUGGUAGAGCUUGCUCUUCCAGGAUGACGACCGGCGCACGGGUGAGUAACGCGUAUCCAACCUGGCCCAUACCACGGGAUAGCCCGUCGAAAGGCGGAUUAAUACCGUAUGCUGUCAUUAAGAUGCAUAUAUUGAUGACGAAAGGACUGGCGGUAUGGGAUGGGGAUGCGUCUGAUUAGCUUGUUGGCGGGGUAACGGCCCACCAAGGCGACGAUCAGUAGGGGUUCUGAGAGGAAGGUCCCCCACAUUGGAACUGAGACACGGUCCAAACUCCUACGGGAGGCAGCAGUGAGGAAUAUUGGUCAAUGGGGCGCAAGCCUGAACCAGCCAAGUAGCGUGAGGGAAGACUGCCCUACGGGUUGUAAAACCUCUUUUGUUUGGGAAUAAAGUGCGGGACGCGUCCCGCAUUGCAUGUACCAUUUGAAUAAGGACCGGCUAAUUCCGUGCCAGCAGCCGC